GUGGGGAAUUUUGGACAAUGGGCGCAAGCCUGAUCCAGCAAUGCCGCGUGCAGGAAGAAGGCCUUCGGGUUGUAAACUGCUUUUGUACGGAACGAAACGGUCCGGGUUAAUACCCUGGGCUAAUGACGGUACCGUAAGAAUAAGCACCGGCUAACUACGUGCCAGCAGCCGCGGUAAUACGUAGGGUGCAAGCGUUAAUCGGAAUUACUGGGCGUAAAGCGUGCGCAGGCGGUUUUGUAAGACAGGCGUGAAAUCCCCGGGCUCAACCUGGGAAUUGCGCUUGUGACUGCAGUGCUGGAGUACGGCAGAGGGGGAUGGAAUUCCGCGUGUAGCAGUGAAAUGCGUAGAUAUGCGGAGGAACACCGAUGGCGAAGGCAGUCCCCUGGGCCUGUACUGACGCUCAUGCACGAAAGCGUGGGGAGCAAACAGGAUUAGAAACCCCGGUAGUCC
rnacentral:rRNA from 1 species